AAAUGCUGCCCCCUAUCCAAAAUAGUUUUUUUAAGGGGGCAACACUUCAAAUCUCUUGAGUCAUCUUCAUGACCACCACUUUAUUGCGAAUGCAAGAGUGGGCGUGCAGCAGGCAAACCCAGUGAUGCUUCUGGUCACUCCUCAUCUACAGUUGUGACAGACACUCAAACAAGCAUUUAAAAGGCAGGCUGCUUAUGCACCUACAUCAAAAAAUGCUCAAGACCUCACUGCAGCCCUUUCAUAUUACAUUGCAAAGGACAUGACGCCAUUUCAUAUUGUUGAGAGGCCUGGCUUUCUGAGGCUGAUGAAGGUUGCCGUGCCUCACUACAAAGUGAGUGCUGCUCAUUUUAUUUUAUUUUUGUUUAUUUGAUUUGCUUACUGAAGGUUGUGUUCAUUUAAACCUGCACUAGGGAAACUUACCUCUCAUGGCCACAUGGUGCCAUCUUUAAUGUUACUAUUUUAAUGUUUAUGCACACAAGUGCAUAGUGCUGCUAAUUUGUUUUGUUUUCAAUAUAAAACUUGGUGAAAUGA